rnacentral:rRNA from 1 species
GCCAGCAGCUAUAUCACCCUGCAGCUCUCAACUGGCUUACCCACUGAAGCUCAGCAGGUGUGAGCCUGGUCAGUACCUGGAUGGGAGACCUCCUGGGAAGCUAUGGUUGCUGCUGGAA